CCUACGGGAGGCAGCAGUGGGGAAUUUUUCGCAAUGGGGGCAACCCUGACGAAGCAAUGCCGCGUGGAUGUAGAAGGCCUUCGGGUUGUAAAGUCCUUUCGUGGGGGACGAAAAGGCGGAUCCGAACACGGUCUGCUAUUGACGUGGACCCAAGAAGAAGCACCGGCUAACUCCGUGCCAGCAGCCGCGGUAAUACGGAGGGUGCGAGCGUUAAUCGGAAUUACUGGGCGUAAAGGGCGCGUAGGCGGUGGGUUACGUCUGCCGUGAAAUCCCCGGGCUCAACCUGGGAAUGGCGGUGGAAACGGGCUGACUGGAGUAUGGGAGAGGGUGAUGGAAUUCCAGGUGUAGCGGUGAAAUGCGUAGAGAUCUGGAGGAACACCAGUGGCGAAGGCGGUCACCUGGCCCAAUACUGACGCUGAGGCGCGAAAGCGUGGGGAGCAAACAAGGAUUAGAUACCUGGGUAGUCCACGCCCUAAACGAUGGAUACUGGAUGUUUGGCGCCUUAAGUGCUGAGUGUCGUACUAACGCGAUAAGUAUCCCGCCUGGGAAGUACGGCCGCAAGGUUAAAACUCAAAGGAAUUGACGGGG
rnacentral:rRNA from 1 species